rnacentral:rRNA from 1 species
UACGGAGGGUGCGAGCGUUGUCCGGAAUCAUUGGGCGUAAAGGGCGCGUAGGCGGCACUGUUAGUCAGGCGUGAAAUUCCUGGGCUCAACCUGGGGACUGCGCUUGAUACGGCAGAGCUAGAGGAUGGAAGAGGCUCGCGGAAUUCCCAGUGUAGAGGUGAAAUUCGUAGAUAUUGGGAGGAACACCUGAGGCGAAGGCGGGCUACUGGGCCGAUACUGACGCUGAUGCGCGAAAGCCAGGGGAGCGAACGGG